AAGCGCAGUUUACCAUGGCGCGGCACUCCUGCGGCAGAAACGUGAGGCAGCUGGGCACCUUACAUCUGCCAGGAGUCGAAGCUCGGCUAGCUUCUGGUUUCUAUUCCGCCUGGGACCCCAGCUCAUCACACUGAUGCUGCUCCCGUGAGCCUGCCGCCCCUGCAGACGGCCAAGAGCCAUGAGCCUCACUCACUCCAGGAUGUUGCCUGCUUUGACAACCACCACCACCUGGGUGAGGAAAUCCGGUGCUGCGAGGAGAUGAUUCUCCAGCUCUCCCCGCAUGCUUGCAGAGACUUACUGGUCAUGCCGGGUGUCGGGGAUGCCUCUGUCCAUGUGCAGCUUGUCACUCUCCACCUGGUUGAACUUGUUGCGUGCAUAGGGGUCCUGCCCAGAGCGAACCAUUGUACCGCCAACGUAUGCCUCCUGGUUAAAGUCUGGCCACCGGACUUUGCCUGGAAAAAGUGAAGCAGAGGGUGUGGGACAAGCGGACACGAGACCAGAGUGUCGCCAGAGACGGCAGCAAGUGUUAGGUUGAGCGACAGUGGCCUUGGUUCGUUCACAGGAGGACAACUGUAAUCAAGAGUAUCUGAGAGGGCCCUGAACGUCGUCACACGGAAGCCAAGACUCUGCAAGACAAGAGUGAAAGCCCAAGCUCAUGCUUCACUCAGUGUCUCGCAAGACAGCCAGCAACUCAGGCGCCAUGGAGUUCUGGGAAGGGGGUGUUCUCUGUCUGCCUACCUUCCCAGGAAUUUGGGUCAUGUCCCCAAACAAUCCCCGUCAGGCAAAGGAAACAACAUGUGUAUAAGUUUAAUAAAAGACUCCACUCUGCAAUCAGG
rnacentral:lncRNA from 1 species